rnacentral:rRNA from 1 species
CCAAUAGCGUAUAUUAAAGUUGUUGCAGUUAAAAAGCUCGUAGUUGAAUUUCGGGGUCAGUAGGUCGGUCGUGCCUACGGUAUGCACUGGUCUCACUGAUUCCUCCUUCUUGAAGAACCGUAAUGUCAUUAACUUGGUGUUGCGGGGAAACAGGACUGUUACUUUGAAAAAAUUAGAGUGUUUAAAGCAGGCCAACGCCUGAAUACAUUAGCAUGGAAUAAUGAAAUAGGACGUUCGAUCCUAUUUUGUUGGUUUCUAGGAUUGACGUAAUGAUUAAUAGGGAUAGUUGGGGGCAUUAGUAUUCAAUUGUCAGAGGUGAAAUUCUUGGAUUUAUUGAAGACUAACUACUGCGAAAGCAUUUGCCAAGGAUGUUUUCAUUAAUCAAGAACGAAAGUUAGGGGAUCGAAGACGAUCAGAUACCGUCGUAGUCUUAACCAUAAACUAUGCCGACUAGGGAUCGGAUGAUGUUAAUUUUUUAAUGACUCAUUCGGCGCCUUACG